AAGCCACCCGUGAGACCCGUAGCUACACCACCACCACCACCCAUCGCCACCAUCACUCCAUCGGAUUUCAAAUUUUGAAUCCCCUCAGCCAGAUUCUGCUUCUCUCCCCGGUGACCCACUUGCGACGCCCCAUCGCACAAACGCCGUCGGGACUGUCGUCGCCGGUCUCAAGUUCGCCGCCAUCCAAAACAAUCAAUCCUCAUGGGGAAUCUCUCACAGAUCUGUUAUUCAGCUUUCGCUCCGCUCCCUUCGAUCCGGUCUACGUUCCAGUCUAGGGAACGCCAGAGGAAGAUGAAUGUUGGUCGCCAACAAGGCACUCCGGUGCUCCUUCAUCGUUAGAGGAUUGGGUUCCUUCCCCGUCCAGCGACGGACAAGUGAAGUGCCUGAGUCAAAUUCAGAUGUCUCGUCUACUCUGUGGAUUGCAAGGUACAGUUCUUGUUACUACUCGAUUUUUUCCAAUCUAGGUGGAUUCCCAGUACAGAUUUAGGGGGGCUUAUUUUCUUCUAUUAUUGGGCCCGCUGCCCCGGAUGUCUAAUAUCGAGUUAGGAAAUUUUCGUGAUUUGGAGUUUGUCGUUAAACCAACAGACCAGUCAAGAGUUUGAUUCUCUUGCAAGAGCUUACAACUUAUACUCUUCAGAAAAAAGGAUUUGGAAUUAAGUACGGUGAAUGUGGACGAAACGUCCACAAAUGCAAGCCUGCCCAGAACAUAAUUUGCGGAUGCGCGUGAGUUAGUUUCAUACGACAUCGACAGUCACAGAGAACCGUCCUCUGAAUCGCAACGCACUCCAGCUCCGUGGUAGGCAAGGUCAUAUCCAUGUGCUGGAGACAAUGGGUUUAAGAAAGCCCCCGUCUUGCUGCUGCUCAAGCAAACAGUGCGCCUGCCGGAGCUGUUGGAAGAGCACCUGACCAAGCCCGUUCUCCCUUCUCUAUUCUUCUUUGUCUUUUUUGUGUGUAUUUUGCUCUUUGUUUUGAUUUGUAUGGUUCUGAAUUAAAGGAGAGCUUUUUUGGUUGUAGAUCAUGAGGCUAUGCCUUGGUUCCAUGUGCUUAUGCCGAUCUGAACUUUGUUCCUGUUCAGAAGUGAAUAAUUGUUUCGAAUUCACGAUAUUGUCCAUGUUCAAAAAAAAUCAGAUAGUGAACAUUACAAGAAUGGUGAAUGGUGAUUACUGAUUA